GAUGAACGCUGGCGGCGUGCCUAAUACAUGCAGGUCGAGCGAACGGACGAGAAGCUUGCUUUUCUGAUGUUAGCGGCGGACGGGUGAGUAACACGUGGAUAACCUACCUAUAAGACUGGGAUAACUUCGGGAAACCGGAGCUAAUACCGGAUAAUAUUUUGAACCGCAUGGUUCAAAAGUGAAAGACGGUCUUGCUGUCACUUAUAGAUGGAUCCGCGCUGCAUUAGCUAGUUGGUAAGGUAACGGCUUACCAAGGCAACGAUGCAUAGCCGACCUGAGAGGGUGAUCGGCCACACUGGAACUGAGACACGGUCCAGACUCCUACGGGAGGCAGCAGUAGGGAAUCUUCCGCAAUGGGCGAAAGCCUGACGGAGCAACGCCGCGUGAGUGAUGAAGGUCUUCGGAUCGUAAAACUCUGUUAUUAGGGAAGAACAUAUGUGUAAGUAACUGUGCACAUCUUGACGGUACCUAAUCAGAAAGCCACGGCUAACUACGUG
rnacentral:rRNA from 1 species